GGAUUAGAUACCCUGGUAGUCCACGCCCUAAACGAUGUCUACUAGUUGUCGGGUCUUAAUUGACUUGGUAACGCAGCUAACGCGUGAAGUAGACCGCCUGGGGAGUACGGUCGCAAGAUUAAAACUCAAAGGAAUUGACGGGGACCCGCACAAGCGGUGGAUGAUGUGGAUUAAUUCGAUGCAACGCGAAAAACCUUACCUACCCUUGACAUGGAAGGAAUCCUUGAGAGAUUGAGGAGUGCCCGAAAGGGAACCUUUACACAGGUGCUGCAUGGCUGUCGUCAGCUCGUGUCGUGAGAUGUUGGGUUAAGUCCCGCAACGAGCGCAACCCUUGUCAUUAGUUGCUACGAAAGGGCACUCUAAUGAGACUGCCGGUGACAAACCGGAGGAAGGUGGGGAUGACGUCAAGUCCUCAUGGCCCUUAUGGGUAGGGCUUCACACGUCAUACAAUGGUACAUACAGAGGGCCGCCAACCCGCGAGGGGGAGCUAAUCCCAGAAAGUGUAUCGUAGUCCGGAUUGUAGUCUGCAACUCGACUGCAUGAAGUUGGAAUCGCUAGUAAUCGCGGAUCAGCAUGUCGCGGUGAAUACGUUCCCGGGUCUUGUACACACCGCCCGUCACACCAUGGGAGCGGGUUUUACCAGAAGUAGGUAGCUUAACCGCAAGGAGGGCGCUUACCACGGUAGGAUUCGUGACUGGGGUG
rnacentral:rRNA from 1 species